CCUCUUCCUUGAAUCCUUUCUUGAAACCCCUCAGGUAAUGCCUCUUCAACCCUUGUGCAUCCGUCUGGUGGUGUUAAAGCCACCAAGAAAGGUUGCCCUGAUAACUCAAGCCUAAGAACUAACUCUUGAAACUCCUCAUUUUGCAAUGUAAUCUGGCUUCCAAAUGCACAAAACACCCCAGAACUUGGCUUAAAGUUGCUUAGCCAAUUAGCCCAUUGGUCUUCAAGCUGUGUGGCAUUUGUUUCAGGGAGGCAAGGCUCGGUUAGCAUAACAGGCUUGCCAAAUGUUGAGCAACAUAGUCACAAAAAGGUCCCUCAAUUUCACGGUGAGCCCUAAAGGCUAUGACAUCACUGCCAUUCAUGCUAGUUAUUAUCCGGUCCUGAAAUGACAAUCCUAUUCCAAAGAUUUUUCGUGCAAUUGUCAGAACGGAAACCUCUUCAGCUUUGAGUUUCACCUUGGGAGAAGGAUAACUAGUAGGAACUUCUAUCAACUCUUCUAUAGUCAUUUCCUUUGUAACUUUCUUUGUCGACGAAUGCGCGUUUGCGGCUGCAGUCACCUCAGCAUAGUAAAUGGACUUGAUGUUGACUUGGUGCGUCAGGGCUGGAAUCCAAUACCCCAAAUCAUAGAAAACUAUAUCAGCUUUAUAGCCCUUAAAAUGGUUUCAACUUGAUCUCGAGUUUGAUCAAAUGCAAUAGCAAACAAGCUAUGUAGUGGUUCAGGAACAUCGGAUGUAGUUUGGGCGCUGGCAGGAUACCAUCUAUAUGUUGGGUGAGGGCUGAUCAUGCAUCAAAUACAAAUAAAACGUAGUAGAAAUAAAUUUAAAAUUAAAUUAUGCCUCACCUUCUUAAAAUCUCUUUGAUGCCAAAUUAAGUAAGAAUUAAAUUGAAAAUAAAAUAUAUAUGAUCAUAUCAAGUUUGCCUAAAUAAUAAAGGUUGAUGAAUCAUUUGUUAAAUCAUCAAAUUAGCCUUCAAAAAGCUCAACCACCUCAACCUGACUGUUGCAAACCAAAGCUGUCCAAAGAAUCUUUGUGUAGCCUUUAAUGGUGAUCCACACUAAUGAAUUAGAAAAUCUUCUUUAAAGAUUGGGAGUGCUAUGCCUUGAUAAUGUGCUAGCAAAGAUGAGUUUCAUAAACUCAUAAUCCACACAAAAUUGUGGGGCUGAACGCACAAAAGAAAUCAAGAACGCAAAGAACGACAAGACAAAAGGAAUUUCUAAUGUGUCGUUCUUUUUUUUUUCAACCGUUUUCUCUCAUUUUGUUUGGAGGCUAUAGCAAGGUAUUUAUACCUUGGAUUAAUUUUAAACCCUAAUUACAAAUCUAUUUUGUAACUACCAAUUAAUCCAAUAAUUUGAAUAAACAAUUUAAUUAAGUCCUUAAGAAGCCCAAUUAACUUAAUUAUUUAAUUUAAUCAAUUAGGCCCAAUAACUUAAUUAAACAAUUUAAUUAAUUAAGCCCAACAAUUUAAUUAAACAAUUUUAAUCAAUUAGGCCCAAUGACUUAAUUAAACAAAUUUAAUCAAUUAGGCCCAAUAACUUAAUUGUUUAAUUUAAUUAAUUAGGCCUAAUGACUUAAUUAAACAAUUUAAUUAAUUAGGCCCAAUGAUUUAAUUAAAUAAUUUAAUUAAUUACACACAACUUAAUUAAACAAUUCUAAUCAAGUGCUUGAGACGCUCAUAACUUCCAAUUUGAUUAAGUCCAAGUUAGUCACCUCUCUCAUUUUAUUUUCAGCAUUCAUUUUAGGUGUGUGACUCAUUAGGCUUCUAACAUGUUAGUAAUGAACUCAACAUAUAAUUCUUAAGUUAAACUUAAAAUUAGAUAAAUUUAAACUACUUUAAAUUUAUCAUUAAUCAAGUUAACUACUUAGAGUUCAUAGACCAAGAUUAGGAUCUAGCAAUCCAUCAUGGUUACCAAAAUGUUAGAAGAGUCAAGAUGGUUUGACUUAACUUUUCAGUGAUCAGCCUUUCAGUGUAAUUCAUUCCCUCAUCAUAUAUCUCAGAGAUGAUAAGAGCAUGGUGCAAUGUCUACUUUUAUUAAUCUCCAUAUUUGUUCUUAAAGUUUGAUCAUCAACUUUAUAAAGAGUUAUGAAACUCCUUUCAUAAUCUUCAAGUCGCCUUGGCUAAAGAUUUUAAUAAGCUAAUAUCAACCAAGAACAGUUAGGAUAUGUCCCUUGUAUCACUUGGGGUGAUGAUUCCUAUAUUGACCACUCAUGUUUCUUCACUUGCUACAUGUUAUACCUAAAAGCAUUUUGUUUUGACAUCAUUGGUUAGGCACUUGUAAGGAUGAAAUCAAAGCAUAGCACUCCACACAUAAGAUAACCUGGUGUCUCAAGUCUAGAGAGUAUUUACACAACUGACAUAUGAGAAGUAUUGCAUAGACACUUGAGUGAAUUACCAAAUGCACUUCUUAUGACGGGUCAUGUUCAAUGAACUUGCUCUCUUAGGCAAGCAUCUACAUUCUAGUUCCAAGUAUUUCUAUACUUCAACCUAUAAGAUCGGUUGCUUACUUCUCAAGUAAGGAAUAUAAAAUGUAUCAGUCUCUAGGUAUCAUUGAUGUCCAGUCCCAAUGAUACAUUGACCAGGAAUAUUUUGAGAUUACGCUUUGAUGCAUAAAGAUCUCAUAACUGGAACCCAUUACAGUUCCCUUGCAAUGCAUAUUAAUCUCAUGGACUUCAUCCAAUUAGACUUAUAAUUUUUUAUAGUUGAUGUCUUAUUGAUGAAGGAAAACUUUUAAUCAUUCAAUAUGAGUGAUGUUGUUGCAUGUUUGGAAUCAAGUUUUAACCAAUCUCAAUUAGCUGCAGGGUUCAUUCCAACACUACAUGGGAAACAACAAGAGGAAAGAACUGAAUAAGAUUUGGAUAUUGGUUAAAUUGUUCUAACUUUGGCUGUGCUUCUUUAGGCAAUAAGAAGGAGAACUUGUGGCCUUUCUCAACAAGCUUGUUUGAGAGGUGAAGGUAAGGGAUGAAAUGGCCAAAGGCAAACCAUGGAAACAUGGCUACGUGAAGCUUGGAGGAGUUGGGAUUUCUCAUCUUUGCCUUGCAAACUGUGUUACUGUGACUGAGUUCAAAGGAAGUUAUAUAUAUCAACAUUAUGUGGCUGACAAAACUGCUAGAAAUUUUGUUGGCAGAGCCAAAAAGCAAGUCUUCAUAGUAAUUACCAUGACAGCAUCCAAAUUUAUAUAAGACCCUACUUGACUUAGGCACCCUUGACAGCAGAAAAUGGGUAGAAUAAUGAUCAAAUACUUAAAAUUUAUUUUAUUAAAUUAAUUAAAUAAGUAAGUAGUUAUAUUAACUUUACAUGAAAUAAUUUAAAUAAGGUGGGGCAAGGUGGGGCUCUUUUCAAUGGUACAAGUGCCUUUAAUGAGAGGACACUUUGGAAAUGAUCCCUUCACCAAUAUGAUCCACUCAUACAAUGUCCUUAAAUUAAAAGUCACUUAUGACAUCUGGUAUAACGUUAAGAAUUGAGUUCAAUGCUUUUAGGAGUUCAACAACUUGACUUAACAAUAUUUACGAAAAAAAAAAUGUAGAUUCGUGGUCAUAAAUAUGUCACUGGAUAUUAUGUAUUUAUUAGUGUUGAAUUAUUGAGUAAGAUGUAUUCGAUUAACCAAAUGAAAUAGUUGGUUCAAAGCAUAGUCUCUCAUGUAAUUUCAUUUAACUUUACAUGUUUUUACCAAAUGAAAGUUCAAUCGGAUGAUAUGAGUUUCUAAUCAAUUCGAUAUCCAUAUUAUAUUAGCGCAAUCCAAUUGCAAAGAUUUUGGACUUAAUUGUCUCAAUAGCAGCCUCUUCAGCUUUUAAAUAAAAGAACGAAGAAUCUUUUAAAUAAAGAGAACAGGUCCAUGACAAUUGGACUAAAGUCGAUUGAAGUGCAAAAUAAAUGAUGAAUGGGCUUUUUAGAUCUAAUUGGUCUUGAAAUUAAUUAAAUUAAUAAUAUUUAAUUAAUAUAUUAUAAUAACAAUUGAUGUCAGGUACUAGAUAGAUUAUUCUUAUUCAUUAAAAAUUGUUAGAUGAAUGCUAAGUUUCGUGAAGAACGUAUGCCCCGUCUGCAAAUCUUAGGCAUUAGCCACAGGGUCCAAGGAUGUGGAAAACAUGGGGUCCUUUAAUCAAAUCAAAAGUAACAAUAACAACAUGGCUACUUCACAUCAAUAAACAGCAGUGGGACGGACAUCAAUAAUUGAGGUAAGGUUUGCAAUCCAAAAGCAAUCAUACGGAUACAAUGAUUUUCCUUUUUUUUUUAAAGUAAAACAAUUGAAUAAGUUCUUAAAUUAUAUAAAAAAUUUAAUUUUUUUAUAUUUUUAUUGUGUUUAAUUAAAUCUUUGUAUUUUAAUUUUAAACCAAAUAAGUUAUUGUAUAUUAAUUUUGAGUUAAAUAAAUAUUUAUAAUUAAUAAUUGAUUUAAUUAAAAUAUUAUUUGUCAUUUUAUGUCACGUGACGUUGACGUGACAUACUUAUAAUUAAUGUUGAUGUAAUUUGUUGACAUAUUAUAAUUGAUGAUGAUGCGACAUGUUAAUUUGGAAUUAAAAUGUGAUUAUGUAACAUUUUUCACAUCUCAUAUCAAUGUCAUGUCAGUGUCAUAUGAAUAUAAAAUGAUAUGUUGCAUUUUAAUCAUAAAGACUUAUUUGACCCAAAUAAAAGUAUAGGGGUUGAUUGAACACAAUAAAAAAAUAAAGACUUACUUGGAUUUUCUUGAAUAAUUUAGGGACUUUUUUGAAUAGUAUGGUAAAAAAAAAUGAAUAGAUGCUUUACAUCUAAGUCUUUAUCAGAUAUACUUCUCAUGUUUACUUCUUUAAUUUUUUGAAUAUAUAUAUAUAUAUAAUCAAAUAUGUUAAAGUACUUUUAAUUCCAUGCUUAAUUCAAAGAAAUAUAAAUUAAUCGAGAUGAAAUUAUCAAGUUUAUGAAGUUUUCAUCUUGUUACAAGUGGUAAGGUUAUUUGUUUUCGAGGAUAACUGUUUUUUUCUUAACUAACAUUGUAGCUUAAUUGAUAUUUGAUGCAUUGCUCCAUAAAAAUUGAGUUAGCUUAAUGAUAAGUUUGUCAAAUAAGUAAUUUAUUUCAUGAACAAAUCUAGAAUCCUUGCAAUUUUACAUGACUGCAUGCAUGCUGACAGAAAGCCUACAACUUAAAAUUAUCAUAUGAAUGCAGAUUUGCUUUGUUCAGUUUGAAUUUAUUUAGAAAUAUUAUAGACAAAAAAAUCUAGAAUAUAAUUGCUGCUCAUCUUCUUGUCUUUUGGGAUUUUUUGAAGAUGACAAUAUGUACAACCAUGAUAAUAAUAUAUAUGUAAGGAGGGAUUGGUGUUUAGUUUUAUGUCUUUUUAUUAUUUCAUGUAUAUUUAAUGUUUAGCAAAUUAUAUUUUUAUUUAAUAACUUAUACUCGAAUGUAGAGUUUCAAAAUCAAUUCGAUAUCCAUAUUAUAUUAAUUUAAAAUAUUAUCUUUUUUAAUAUAUAUUUAACUGUAGAAAUUUUAUUGUAUCAAAUAAAUACUUAAACAUUUUAAAUUAUUUAAAAUUUGACAUGCAUGAUUCUUGUGCAUAGAUCACGAAAAUCCAACGGUUGGAUUAAUCAAAUAUAAAUAAUUUUUACACUAAUGUAAGUAAAUCCCUCGUCUCGUCUAUCUCUAUAUAUAUUUAUACUUAUAUAGUAAUAUAUAAGAAAGCAUAUGAACCCUAAAUGUGUAAAUAGUUAACCACAUAUAUGCUCUUAAUAAUUUAUUAAAUUAAUUUUUUACCCUAAAUUAAUAAUUUUAUUUUUAAAUUAAAAUAUUGAUAUGCAAAUAUUUUAGAUAUGAAUUAAGUUUUUAUCCUUCCAAAGCACACAGAAGUCAAAAAUAUUUUUUAAAAAGAUUCUACUCUGUUCCAAAAGCCCAAAUGAAUAUCAUUUUCCAUACUAAUAAAGUAAAUCUUCGGUUUGAAUAAUUUUUUCCCUUUUAUAUCUUACUCUAAAGGGUAAUUCAUUUUAAUCCUGAAAUAUAUAUGGAUUUUUUCCCCUAUUUUUUUGGCUAUGCUUUUCCAAAUCAAGCCAACUUCUUAAUAUUUGUAUAUGUUCUUAAUUAAUACAUCUGUGCUCCCCGAGAUAAAUAAAUGAAACAGAUACUAUUACCUUUUAUAUUUAGAUGGCUUUUAAUUAUUCUAUGGGUUUGGCACGUUUAUGAGUUAUACGUCUAAGUCUACUGUGGUCCGACUCUUACUGUCAAUGUUGUGGUUGCUCCUCCAUCGGAUCUCGAGGAACUGAGGGAUAUGAAGAAAGAAGUCACGACUAUGAGGGAUGAGAUGUGGAAUAUGAAGUCAUAUCAAGUAUUAUCAAGAAUUGCGUAGAUCCUCCAAUAUGUGAAGCCGACAGCCAAUUUAGAGACUUCACAACAGCAGUCGAGCCCUUUUAAUAAUAAGGAGGCGCGACUGAAGGACAAUGACACUAGUUAGAUUGUAGGUUUAUUUAGUUAUAUAUAUUUUAUUGCUUGUAAUAUCGAAUAAUUUGUAAUUUUUUAUAAAAAUCAAAUAUUUUUUUUUGUAAAUAUUAGUAUUUUUUAAUAUUAUUGUUUACUUAUAUUUGUAUUAUUCACUUGGAAUGAUAACAAGAAUGAACAAAACCAAUCAAUUUCAAUGUUCCUAGAGAAAAAAUGGUUUCAUAUAUAUUCCACUUUAUUACUAAUGGAAUUACCAACUGAUAUAGCAGUUUACCGAUGAAAUUAUGUACAGCGUUAAUGACAAAAUAAACUUCAUCAUUAGCAGAAAUGAAGACAUCAUCUAUGAAAACUAUAUACAUUCGAACUACUGAGUUUCGUCAGUACUUCUGUUGAAAAUUUUGUCUAUAAAUUAUAGACAAAAUUUAUUGAUAAAAUGCAAUCAAUAGAGACUAAUCAUCCCUUCUACGGGUUGGAUGCUUUGCUGACUGAGUUUCCAAUAGAAUAUUCUGUCAAUAAUUUUUCGACAAAAUAUUCAAAUACUGAUGGCAUGCUCUUUAUCGGUGGUGAUAUUUUCCACGAAUUUUGAACUUUUAUCAACGGAAAAUUUCAUUGGUAAAAGUGUUAAAUUUGGUAGUGGACUAACUAUCGUUAGUCAAAAUGUCACUUCUUAUUUCAUGCCACAUGAUGCUAACAUGGUAUGUUAACAUGUCAUAACAGACGAUGACAUGACAUGUUGAAAUGAUAUAAUUACAUGGUAUUUUUCAUUCUUUAAGUCAAUGUCAUAUGAGUAUAAAAAUUACAAAAUGACAUUUUGAUUAAUCAUAGUUAGUCAAUCUUUAAUAAAAACGGUCUAUUUGAAUUAAAAUAACAGUAUGAGAAUUUAAUUUAAUGUAAUAAAAAAUAAAAAUUUAUUUAAAAUUUUUUAAUAACUUACGAUUUAUUACAAUUUGGGUUUAGGUCUAUAUUAGUUUAUAGAUGGGUAACAAUUUAUUGCAAUUUGCAAGAGAAAUCUUUCAUUACUAUUUGAGAGAUUCUUGAUUGUUUAUCAUAUUCAGAUUUUAUUAUCAAGGAAAAUCUAUCAUGCACUAGUUAUUUGAGAAACCACUAACAUUAUUUAUUUAUUUAUUGUAUGGAGCAAUUAACAAUGAGUUCAUGCACUUUUGGACUUUUGAGGGAUUGGGCGAGGAGAGAUGCAUAAAAAAAAAUGAGAAUCUGAUGGAGUAGAUAUAACUUUUUUUUUGUAAUACCCCAACUCAAAAAUACGAUAACAUUAUUAUGUUUACAAAAUCCUAAAUUUGAUAAAUAGGUUUUAUUAAAAUUAUAAAAUAUUUGAGUUUAUAAUAGAAUAGUUUUAUAUUAAGGACUUUUUAGCAAAUAAAGUGGUUUUAUUUUUAUUGGGGUCAUAUUACAUUAUCAUGUUAAAAAAAACAGUCAGUUAUGUCUCAUCACUUUUUAAAAAGAAAAUCAAUUAGUUUUAUCUAAGUUAAUUCUAAAAAGGAAAAAUAGUAAGACAUGUUUAAAGGAAAACAGGUAAAGUCAGUUUAUUUUAUCACAUAUAAGGAAGUUAAGAUCAGUUUUUAUUAGCACGUUUAAAGAAAAGAAAAAUAAAAUAAAAUAAAAAAUUCCAUUUGUGAGAAACUAAUCCUAGAGAAGAAGGUAGAAAAAGGAAAGAUCUAUUCAAGAAAGCAAUGAUUAAGGUAUGAUUAGGUUUUAACUUUAGUUUAUAUUUCUUUAAUUUCCGUUCAAAUCCGAUACUGUUCUGGUGGCAUGAUGGGUUCCAAUGGAAAUGUCUUGAAAGAUCUUUCCAAUGAUUUAUAUAGCAUUUCGUUUGGCUUUGUAGUUAGAAAGAUAUGAAUUUUUGAAGUUAAUUGGAAACCUGAUUUUAACAGUUUUGACGACCCAACUUUGGGUCAACGGAACUUCAUAUUUUGGUAACAUUUUAGAUUAUUUCUUUGAGGGCUUUUGUAGUAUGAAAUGAGGUGUUUAAUUUGAUGUCAAUGGCUCAGUUUGGGCUUCCUUUGUUAGGAGAAUUAAAGCCUCAAAGUAGAUUUGUUGAUACUAAAAACCCAAAAAUCUGGGUAAGUCUGAUAAUUUCUAAAUUUAUGGCUUUUGAAACUUGAGAAUCUUGUAUUUGUUUUAAUUAAAAUAAAUUUUGGUGUUAUAGUAUGAUAUGAAUACUUCAAAUUGGCAUUAAUUUUAUCAUUGAAAAUAAUUCGAGUUAAGAGUUAUAAGUAUUUGAAGUAAGCCAAAUGGUCAUAAGAAUAUGAAAUUUCAGAAUUUAUGAGAAUUUAUUUUUAAUUAUUUCAAAAAUUAUUCUUCACCUAUAUUCUACCUAUUUUGAUAGAAACUUUAGAAAUUUAAGCUAUUUGAAUUUUAGUGAAUUUUUUUAUGAAUAAAUAUUUAUCUGAUAAAUUAAUUUGAAUUGACAUAUUUUGAAAAUUUUUAUUAAAAAUCUUCAGAUCUAAUUUUGGCUCAUUAGUUGGUGUAUUAUCCCCCUGCCUAAAGAGCAGGGUUCGAAUCCCCCCUCCCCCAAGUAUAAAAAAAAAAUCUUCAGAUCUAAUUUUGGAUUUGUAUUUAAAAUGUUUUCACCCAACGUCAUAUUUUUACUGAUUUUAUACUAUAAUCUAUGAGUUUCUAAGUUUUGAAUGUUUUAUGUAUUUAUAAAUUAUUAAAAGAAUAAAAAUUGAUUUUCGAUAAGCAAAAGAGAUGCUGCUCCUUAAAUGCUUAGAAUGACCACCAAAGAGUCAUCGUUCGUUUUGAUAAGUUAGAAAUGUUGGUUUCUAAUUUCGAGUAUUUUGAAUUAAUAGGAUUCAAGAAGAUUCUAAUUCUUUUUCUUUUGAUUUUGGUUUUAGCAAAUCAGGUAAGUGACUGAUAUCCCUUCGGUGUUUUCACACCCUAAAAUUUACCUCAAUGUGAUUUUCAUACUUGUACAUGAUAUUUUGUCCUAUGAUUUGUUAAAUCGGGUGAGCAUGCUAAUAUAUGUAAGUAAAUAUGAUUUCAAUUUUUGUUCUGGAAAAUGAGUUUUAUCAUUGUAUGCAUAUAUGAUUAUCUUUGUAAAUAUUUAAUUUGAAACGAUUAUGUUUUUGAUAUGCAUGAGAAAGUGGAUACACUAUUUUGUGAAAUUCAGGUAAUAUAAAAAUAUAUGUUUCUGUUUUGUCUCCUAAUAUGUUAAUGUUAUGAUCCUGCCAAUGGGGGUUAAAUGUUGGCCAUGUUGACAUGUAUUAUGUGAUUAGAGAUCGAUCUCUCAACCGCACCACCAGUUACAGAAUAGUGGUAUUUGUAAUAGCUGUUCAGAGCAGUCAAUGGUUGCUUCUGAUACGAUUGUGACCCAUGCCAUAGGGGUUAAUUGUGGUUUUGAUAUGAUUAUGACCCGUGCCACUGAGGUUAAUUGUGAUUUCUGCUAUGAUUAUGACCUAUGUCGUAAGGGUUAAGUAUGGCCAUAGUAUUUUACAGGAGAUCAAUAAAAAUUUGAAAUUAGUGUGAAUUUAUAUUUUGUUCUGUUAUCUGAAAGCUUUGAAAUUGUGUUAGUUAUGUUAUCGGAAGAGAAAUUACGUUUACUUUUGUAAUUUAAAAAUGAAAUUUUGCAAUAUAUAUUUUUGAAUGAGAUUACUUAAAAUUUUGUUUUGACACCUAUAUAUGUAUUAGUAAUUUUGGCCUAAAUGUUUGGAGUAUGCUUAGCUCGGUUGAAGGGAUGUCCGUUACUUGCUGAGUGGUUAUACUCAUUCCAUUAAUUCUCAUCAUUUUACAGAUUUCAACAUCUUUGAAUGUUUGGGAGAUAGACUUGCUUGGCGAGAGUUUUGGUUAGCAAAAUUAACGUAUGCCUUUGAAUAAUUAUAAGCUUUGAUGUGAGUAAUUAGUUUUUCGUUUAUUAAGCAUAUCUUAGCUAGAUCAGAAAUAUGUAUCAUUUAGAGGAUUGUAUUUUAAUAUUAUAUUUUGAGACUUGAAGUUUUGUGAGGUGUAAAUUUUGAAAAGAUUGUGGAGAUAUUAUAUUGAUUAAGUAUGAUAUUGUUGCCUUGCAUGCUUAUGGGAUUUGUCUCAUAAGUAUGUGGCGUCUGUUAUGUUCUAAAGCCUUUGAUUUGGGACGUGACAUUUUUUAUCCCCUACCGCUAUUCAAUUCAUUUAAGGCCAAGACAUUAGAGGUUAAGAAUAUUGAAGGAAAUUUACAAUGAACUUAUUGCAUUAUAUCAUAUUGGAAUCUAAUAGACAUUAAGAAAGCUAGGCAAAAACAACGCUCAAACAGGUUCACUAAACUCGGAUUCUAAAUUGGAUUCUUAUUCUGCUUUUACAAUUUGGAUCUUAAUUAUUUGACCAGAUCUUGUGGACUUUUGAUGAAGUUACUAGUAUAUUUUUCUUAAAGAUCUUUGUUAGAAAGAAUGUUCUUGAGCUUGGCAUGGUUUCUCUUCAACAGACCAGCUAUUUCAUUGUCCUUUUCCAUCACCAACUUGACGGCUUUGCUCAAGUUCUCCUUGGAAAUCUUCAUGUUUUCUCCUUUUUUAGCUUCAACAGCAACCUUGAGUUCCUUUACCAUUAAUCUGGUGUUCAGAAUUUGAUCUCUUAAGCAGGGAAUCAACACAAUUUGGUAGUCACUGAGUAAAGAUUCCCACAUGGUUCUUAGACCACAAUGAUUCACGAAACACCCAAUAGAUGGGUGACAAAGUAACAGCUCUUGGGGAAACCAACCACUAUGCAGCAACCCUCUUCCUUGAAUCUUUUCUUGAAACCCCUCAGGCAAUGCCUUUUCAAUCCUUGUGCAUCUGUCUGGUGGUGUUAAAGCCACCAAGAAAGGUUGCCCUGAUAACUCAAGCCUAAGAACUAACUCUUGAAACUCCUCAUUUUGUAAUGUAAUCUGGCUUCUAAAUGCACAAAACACCACAAAACUUGGCUCAAAGUUGCUUAGCCAAUUAGCCCAUUUGUCUUCAAGCUGUGUGGCAUUUGUUUCAGGGAGGCAAGGCCCUGUUAGCAUAACAGGCUUUCCAAAAUGUUAAGCAACAUAGUCACAGAAAGGUCCCUCAAUUUCACGCUGAGCCCUAUAGGCUAUGGCAUCACUGCCAUUCAUGUCCGAUCCUGAAAUGACAAUCCUAUUCCAAAGAUUUUUUGCACAAUUUUCAGAAUGAAAACCUCUUCAGCUUUGAGUUUCACCUUGGAAGAAGGAUAACCAAGAGGAGCUUCUAUCAACUUUUCUAUAGUCAUUUUCGUUGCAACUUUCUUUGUCGACAUAUGCGCAUUUGCGGCUGCAGUCAUUGCGGCAUAGUAAAUUGACUUGAUGCCGAUUUGGUGAGCCAAGGCUGGAAUCUAAUACCUCAAAUCAUGGAAAACUAUAUCAGGCUUUAUAUCCCUUAUAAUGGCUUCAACUUGAUCCAGUUUGUCCUCGCUUAGGUUGUGGCAAGACGACAAUUUGUUUCACAUGAGGGGGGAUGUCCCACUCACUAGGAUGCCCUACUGGGUGAAUAGACCCCGCAUAACCCUCCACCAAAAUAGUUAUUUUGUAGUAGUCAGCGCAGAAUUCAAUGGUUUCACGUUUGCAUUUACUGAAAAAUUCAAUGAACUCAAUAUUCAAGCACAAUGUAAAUACUAUGUCAAUUAAGGUUCAAAUAAGAAAUAAAGAUAUUCUGACCUUAUUGUUGCAAUGGCAUGGCUGCAUGGUAGUAAAUCUGUUUGGAACUCACAACAUGAACACGUCUUCCUAGACAGGUUUACAAGUCCGUCCAUCUUCCCAUCUUUAACUUCGAACUCCAUUCGAUUGAUAGGUUUAACCACAAAGCAAUGUGCAUCAUUGAACCGUUUGCUCAACUGCUUGGCAACCCAAGGGUUGAGAGGCGUGGUCACCUUGACGGCUUCCUCGUACCAGUCAUGGAACCAACGCUAGAACAUGUCUCUGAUGAACUCGAACAAAAUAGUUGUUAGCAUUUAUCUUGCAUGCUUCAAGCAUGAGUUAACACAUUCCGCAAUGUUGGAUGUCAUCAUUUGGUAUCGCCUUGCUGGUGAACAGGCAUGUGCCCAUCUCUCAGGGCCUAUUUUCAUAAGGUCUGCGUGGGCUCCCGCGUGAAUCUGCUUAAGCUGGUUCAUAUGUUUGUUGAAAUUGAAAACCUUAUAGCAAUCUCGAGCAAGGGUAAAAAUCAUAGAAAUGUCGUCGCGCUUGAACUUGUUUUUAAAGUUUUUCUUCAAGUGGUACCCGCAUAAACCGUGGUGUGCUUCUAGGUAUACAUUUUGGAUUGCUUUCUUAAUGUCGAGAUGUUGAUAAGAAAUGAACAUAGUGUUUUCAAGACAAACAACCGCAUCACGCAGCUUGCUAAGAAACCACAUCCACGAGUCUUCGUCCUCAACAUGGCCAAUGCCAAAUGCAACUAGAUAUAUGCACUUGUUCGCAUCUUUGCAUACAGCAACAAACAGAACACCCUUGAACCUACCUUUUAGAUGUGUCGUAUCAAUUGCAACCAUAGGACGCAUUACAUCCCUAAACCCCUGAAUACAAGCCCCGUAUGCCCAGAAAUAAUAUUUGAAUAUUUCUGCCUCAUCAGUAACUGUGUCGGGAUUUUCUUGUUCUAGCAUAUAAAAAUACGAGGGUAGUAGUUGAAAUGACUCCUCUGGGGGAUCGAAAAUAAGCCUCUUCGCAUACUCCUUCGCUUGCUCGGCCUUACCAUACAAGCAUUCCAAUCCCCACUGAACCUUUAUCUCACUAAUUAUGUCCUUAGGUCUCAAUGCUACUCCAUUAGCCUGAAGCUUGUUUGACAUAAGUUGACCAAUUAUCUUCGCACUUAUGGUUGCAAAUCGCCCUUGCAAACCAUCGACAGUACACGUGUGUACUUUGUGAAAAGUCCAAACUUUCCAAUAUUCUCCUCCUUCAGGUAACUUCAUUGCAUGCACACUGAACUUGCAUGCCUUGUCCUUGCAACCAACCUCAUAACGAGCUUUACAUGACCUUUUUACUCUUAUCCCAAACUGUUAUUUCAGAGCCAACAUGUGUAAAGCUCGUUUCAACUCGGCUUUUAAGGAAAAUAUCCUUCCUUUGUAUAAGCGAUCAUCGGCACAUGUCGACUCCUCAGUUGUAAUUGUUUGGAAGGAGAACCUUUCUGCACCUGAAAUUACCCACGUACGAGAUAUCCCUGCAUUUUCUCUAUCCUAAUAACUGUCAUGGAGCAAUGUACCAGGGGAAUGAAUCCCGUUCGCAUCAGCGAUGGGGUUAUUGUAUAUGGGGUCAUCACACUGAACAUCUCCUACAUCAACACCUCCAAUAGGUUCUGUUUCGCCUUCAACAUUACUGCAAAUUGGAAUAUCAUUGUCAUAAAGCCAGUCAUCGUCUGAACUCUCAUCAUACCAUUCAUCAGGCCCAUCAUUUGAAUUGUCAUCAAAUCUAUCUUCACUGGUAGGGAACAAAUCCUCAUUUCCCUCAUCAGAUGUAGUAUUAUCCUCGAGCAUCGCAGUGUCACCCUCCAACGUCGUAGUGUUGUCCUCAAGUGUUGCAUUCUCAUUUGAAAAUGCCAUUACAACCUGUACAGUUUCACCCGAUCAUUGCAUUUGUUGGACAGAAGUAACUAAUUGGUUCGAUGCACAUCUUGAUCAAAAUUGUGUAACCAACUAUUCUAUGAAUGUCGUGUGUCUACCGAGCUACACAAAUUCUUGUGCAUAUGUCAAUUGCCAUUGUUGUGGGUUACGAACCGAAUGUUGUGGUAUAUGUGAAGCAUUGUAAAUUUCAUUUUGAUUGAGUUGAUUACCAUGUUGUUCAGCUUCUUCACGUGACAUAACAUUUGUUUGGAGUCCCUUAAUGCUGACAUACACAGCCGGAACAUUCCUCUGUUCUAGCAGAAUUAAUGCAAUAUCCUCAUCGUCCUUGGUAAUUGGCCGUAAUAGCUCUUCUGGUGUACUGAUCAAUGCAUGUAACUCAAUCUCGUCAAUUUCUGAGUUUACCCCAACAACAUCUUCAACCAGCUUCAUCAAUCCCACAAACGACAAAUCACUCUUAACCCCCUGCAUUCGUGACUCACCACCCUUGUAAAUGCCAUCCACCCACUGAUCAUUGUGUCUUAUCACAAGUCACAUAAUUAGAACCCCAUUGAAAUUUUGAAAACAACAAUAAUUUAUUAAUCAUUUAACACAUUACAUGACAUGCCGUGUUCUAAAAUUUGUCAGUCAUGUUGUAACACGCCAUGCAUAUAAUGUAAAAUGUUGAACACGUCAUGCAUAUAACGUAAAAUGUUGUAACACGCCAUGCAUAUAACGUAAAAUGUUGUAACACGCCAACGCCGACACACCAAUCACUAUAAUUAUUGUGUCCUUACACGAACUGGCCUAAAAUACCCAUGACGUGUGACACACCAAUUAGUGUAAUUACUGACUUGUUGCACGAAUUGCCCUUAAAUAACCAAUGUUGUGACACGCUAAAAUAACGCUAACACAUGUUAUAGAUGCAUGGUGUGUAACAACUCUGGGCAAUGUUUCUAAUCUAUGUUCUAAUUUACAGCAAAUGUUUCAAAUUUAAGUGUUGCAGCAAUAAACCCAAUAACAUACCUUAAUGUCAUCUAUGCUAUAGGGUCUGUUAAUCGAUGACAAUAUGACUAGAUGCUGAGAGAUAGACAACAGCCCGAUGACGAUGGUGCUCAAUAGAGAGUUGACAAAGCUCAAAUAGUUCAGAGAGUUGAUGACGAUGGUGUUCACUAGAGAGUUGACGGAGUUGAGACAGUUCAGAGAGCUGAGAGAGAAAGAUGAGCGAGCUCAAACAGCUGAGCAUUUAUUUCUAUUUUCUUUGUGGUAGGAGGGAGAUAUCUGGAGCUUAAUUUCAAACGAUGUUUUUAAAGACAUUUUGGUCUACUCAUACUUUUUUUUAGCUAGAAACAGAUAACUUUAUAUGGGUGGUUUUUUUUGAAAUCACCUUAUCAGGAGGUCCAUUUUGCAUAAUUUCCUCUUAAUCUUAUUAAUUAAAAAUUGUUAGAUGAAUAUUAAGUUUGGUGAAGAACGUAUGCCAAAUCUGAGGCAUUAGCCACAGUGUCCAAGGAUUUGCAAAACAUGGGGUGCUUUAACCAAAUAAAAAGUAAUAAAUUACAUAAAAUGGUUUAUGGUGGCAGAAUCAACGGAAGAAGCACUCCCCAGGUGUCUUAUGACUAAUCUGUUUACUAUAACUAAGUUGAUGUUUUGUAGGGUAUCUUGUACCUGGACCUGCAGAUAUCUAACAGACAGUCAACCAUUUAUUUGUUGGCUCCGUAAUUAUCAAACAAUUAUACAGACCCUCAUUAUGCACUCUCAUGCUGUAAUAUUAACUUUCAGUUAUAAUGUGCUUUUCCACUAUUUUUUUCUUUUUCUUAUUUUUUUAAAAUUUUUGCUGUAAUAAUAUGUUGAAUUUGUCACAUUUUUGGUUAUCUACAGGAUCAGAGUGUUGUGUUUCAUUCAUUACGUUGACUUAUAGCAACUUCAUGUGUGUUUAAAGUAAUUUACUAUCAAGGUAAUUUGUGGGAUGCUUGACUCUUGAUCAUAUUCAGAUUUUACUGAUUUACUAUCGAGGUAAUUGUUAUCACUCACCAAUUAUUUACGGACCCACUAACAUUAUUUAUAUAUUUUUGUCAUGGAGCAAGUAAUAAUUGAUUUCUGUAAAAGUGGGUUCUUGUGAUAGGGAGAGAAAGCGUUGCAAAUAAGUAAAAUGAUGUGCCAGAGGUGGCAGAGAGGAAGAUUGAAGCAGUUCCUGAAGUACUAAGUGCUAUGGCAAAUGGAAGACAAUAAGAAGAGACUUAAAGAGACUUAGAGAGUACAAGAUAAUUAGAGAGAGAAUUUAGAGAGAGAAGCUCUCAAGUUGAGAAUGUGUUAGCUUGGAAGGGGAGAAAAGAGUCCUCCCAAAUGAAUUGUGAGGCUCUAUAUAUAGUGCUAAAAGUGACGGUUACAUAAGAAUAGGCUUUAAUGUGCCUAAUGAAUGACAUUAUUAUGAAAAAUAUUAAUGUAAGUAACCGUUACUGUAAUUGGAUGUAGUAAGACUUGUUCUUAAGUAAAGGUAAUAGAAAAGAGGUGUACAAGAAUAGGUACAAGAGAAUAAGCUGUACGAGAAUAGGUAUAAGAGAAUAAGCUGUACAUGAAUAAGUAUACGAGAACAAGGUAAGAGGGUGAAAAACUUGUACUUCAGGAAAUGGUUAAGAGAAAGACCUCUUAACUACCUCCAUAUCUGAGCCACCAAGCCAAACUCUCUGGAACAUCCUAAGAUGAAAGUAACCCAUGAACCCUGCCACUUAUUCUGAGCUACUUUCACUGUCAUCCAAGUGAAGCGGUUAUUCUAUUCAAAGUGACUGUUCUACUUGUAUUAGUUGUUCCAUAUGAAGUAAUACUUUACUUUUUCUAAUUGUUCUACUUUAAGUAGUACUUGAAGUAGCGCUUCACUUGUUUUAGUUAUUCUGCGUGAAGUAACACUUCACUUGUUCUGAUUGUUCUCUAUACAACAUUAUGUUGUAACAUAAUUCUUUAGAGUAACAGUAUUAACCAAAAUCUAGUAUCUACAAUUUCAUUCACUUUUGACUUUUGAGACAUUUGGCUGAGGGAUUUAUAAGAAAAAAGACAAUAUGAUGAAGUAGAUAUAAUUUGUUUUCAUCCCCUACUGCUAUUCAAAUCAUUUAGACAUUAAUAAAUACAGAAAACUUUCUAAAGCCAAUACAUUAGAGGUUAAGAAUAUUGAAGGAAACUAACAAUGAACUUAUUGCAUUAUAUCAGAUUGGAAUCUAAUAGACAUUAAGAAACCUCACCACUAAAACAGGUUUACUAAACUCGGACUCUAAAUUGGAUUCUUCUUCUUCUUUUGCAAUUUGGAUCUUAUUUGACCAGAUCUUGCAGACCUUCGAUGAAGUUAUUGAUAUAUUCUUCUUGAAGAUCUCUGUUAGAAAGAAUGUUCUUGAGCUUGGCAUGGUUUCUCUUCAACAGACUAGCUGUUUCAUUGUCCUUGUCCAUCACCAACUUGAUGGCUUUGCUCAAGUUCUCCUUGGAAAUCUCCCUGUUUUCUCCUUUCUCAACUUCAACUGCAACCUCGAGUUCCUCUACCAUUAAUCUGGUGUUCAGAAUUUGAUCUCCUAAGCGGGGAAUCAACACAAUUUGGCAGUUACAUAGCAAAGAUUCCCACAUGGUUCCACAACCACAGUGAUUCACAAAACACCCAACAGAUGGAUGGCUGAGUAACAGCUCCUGGGGAACCCAGCCACCAUACACCAACCCUCGUCCUUGGAUCCUUUCUUGAAACCCCUCAGGCAAUGCCUCUUCAAUCCUUGUGCAUCCGUUUGGUGGUGUUAAAGCCACCAAGAAAGGUUGCCCUGAUAACUCAAGCCCAAGAACUAACUCUUGAAACUCCUCCUUUUGCAAUGUAAUCUGGCUUCCAAAUGCACAAAACACCACAGAACUUGGCUCAAAGUUGCUUAGCCAAUUAGCCGAGCUGUGUGGGAUUUGUUUCAGGGAGGCAAGGCCCUGUUAGCAUAACAGGCUUGCCAAAAUGUUGAGCAACAUAGUCACAGAAAGGUCCCUCAAUUUCACGGUGAGCCCUAUAGGCUAUGGCAUCACUGCCAUUCAUGCUAGUUAUUAUCCGGUCCUGAAAUGACAAUCCUAUUCCAAAGAUUUUCCGCGCAAUUGUCAGAACGGAAACCUCUUCAGCUCUGAGUUUCACCUUGGAAGAUGGAUAACCAGGAGGAACUUCUAUCAACUCUUCUACAGUCAUUUCCGUUGUAACUUUCUUUGUCGACGUAUGCGCGUUUGCGGCUGCAGACACCGCGGCAUAGUACAUGGACUUGCUGCCGGUUUGGUGAGCUAAGGCUGGAAUCCAAUGCCUCAAAUCAUAGAAAACCAUAUCAGGCUUUAUAGCCCUUAAAAUGGCUUGAACAUGAUCUCGAGUUUGAUCAAAUGCAAUAGCAAGCAAGCUACCUAGCGGUUGAGGAACAUCGGACAUAGUUUCGGCGCCUGGCGGGAUACCAUCUACAUGGGGAACAACAAGAGGAAAGAAUUGAAUAAGAUUCGGAUAGUGGUUAAGUUGUUCCAACUUUGGCUGUGCUCCUUUAGGCAAUAAGAAGGAAACUUGGAGGCCUUUCUCAGCAAGCUUGUUUGAGAGGUGAAGAUAAGGGAUGAAAUGGCCAAAGGCAAACCAAGGAAACAUGGCUACCUGAAGCUUGGUGGAGUUGGAGUUUCUCAUCUUUGUUUGAGAUUCUGCCUAAAAAUCGAGGAAGAAUGAAAGAAGACGUAUGUGUCUACCAUCCAAAUUAUUUAAGACCCUCCUUCACAUCUAUAAACAGCAGUGAUACGGAUAUCAAUAAUUGAGGGAAGAUUUACGAUCCAAAAGCAAUCGUACGGAUACAAUGGUUUUCUUUCUUUUCUUUUUUUAAGAAAAAGCAAAAAAAACCAAAUAAGUUUUUAUAUUUUUGUUGUAUUUAAUUAAGUUUUUACCUUUUAUAUUUAGAUGGCUUUUAAUUAUUCUAUGGGUUUGGCACGUUUAUGAGUUAGACGUCUAAGUCUGCUUGUGGGUCGACUCUUACUGUCAAUGUUGCGACCAUUCCUCCAUCGAAUCUCGAGGAGAUGAGGGAUAUGAAGAAAGAAGUCAUGACUGUGAGAGAUGAGAUAUGGAAUAUGAAAUCAUAUCAAGUAUUGCACAGAUCCUCCAACAUGUGAAGUCCACAGCCCACUUUGAGACUUCAUCACAGCAGUGGGGCCCUUUUAAUAAUUAAGAGGCGAGACUGAGACAACGGCACUAGUUAGAAUGUAAGUUUAUUUAUUUAUAUAUUUUUUAUUGAUUGUAAUAUCAAAUAUUAUAAUUUGUCAUUUUUUAUUUAUUUUUAUAAAAAUCAAAUAUUUUUUAUAAAUAAUAUUUUUUUAAUAUUAUUAUUUAUUUGUAUUUGUAUUAUUCAUUUGAAAUGAUAACAAGAAUGAACAAAACCAAUCAAUUUCAAUUUUCCUAGGAAAAAAUGGUUUCAUAUAUAUUCCACUUUAUUACUAAUGGAUUUACCAAUUGAUAUAGUAGUUUACUGCUGGAAAUAUGUAUAACGUUAGUGACAGAAUAAACUUCACCACUGAUGGAAAUGAAGACAUCAUCGACAAAAACUACAUACAUUUGAACUACUAAGUUUCGUCAGCAUUUUUGUUGAAAUUUCUGUCAGUAAAUUACCGACAAAAUUUGCCAACGAAAUACGAUCAAUAUAGACCAAUCAUCCCUUCAACAGGUUGGAUGUUUUACUGAUUGGGUUUUCGACAAAAUAUUCAAAUAUUGAUGGCAUGCCCUUUACCGGUGAUGAUAUUUUCCACAAAUUUUGAACCUUUGUCAAUGGAAAUUUUUGUUAGUAAAAGUGUUAAAUUUGGUAGUAGACUAACUAUCAUUAGUCCAAAUGUUACUUGAUAUUUCAUGCCACAUGAUGUUAACAUAACAUGUUAACAUGUCAUAAUAGAUGGUCAUAUGAUAUACUGAAAUAACAUAAUGAUAUGGUUAUGUGGUAUUUUUCAUGCUCCAAGUCAAUGCCAUAUGAGUAUAAAAAUUUUAAAAUGAUAUUUUGAUUAAUCGCAGUUAGUCAAUCAUUAAUCAUAAAGGUAUAUUUGAAUUAAAAUAAAAUUAAGAGAAUUUGAUUUAACGUAAUAAAAAAAUAAAAAUUUAUUUAAAAUUUUUUAAUAAUUUAAGAUUUAUUGCUAUUUGGGUUUAGAUCAUAUUAGAGUAUAGUUGGGUAAUAAUUUAUUGCAAUUUGCAAGAGAAAUCUUUCAUUACAAUUUGAGGGAAUCUUGACUUUUGAUCAUAUUCAGAUUUUGUUAUCAAGGAAAAUCUAUCACGCACCAAUUAUUUGAGAAACCACUAACUUUGUUUAUUUAUUUAUUGUAUGGAGCAAUUAGCAAUGAAUUCAUGCACUUAUGGACUUUUGAGGGAUUGGAUGAGGUGAGAUUCAUAAAGAAAAAUGAGAAUAUGAUGGAGUAGAUUUAAUUUGUUUUUCAUCACCUACCGCUAUUCAAAUCAUCUAGAGCCAAGACAUUAGAGGUAAAGAAUAUUGAAGGAAACUUAUUGUAUUAUAUAUGUCAGAUUGGGAUCUGACGAACAUUAAGAAAGCUAGGCACAAAAACCGGUAAAACAGGUUUACUAAACUCGGAUUCUAAAUUGGAUUCGUCUUCUUUUUUAGCAAUUUGGAUCUUAUUUGACCAGAUCUUGCAGACCUUUGAUGAAGGUAUUGAUAUAUUCUUCUUGAAGAUCUUUGUUAGAAAGAAUGUUCUUGAGCUUGGCAUGGUUUCUCUUCAACAGACCAGCUAUUUCAUUGUCCUUGUCCAUCACCAACUUGAUGGCUUUGCUCAAGUUCUCCUUGGAAAUCUCCCUGUUUUCUCCUUUCUGAACUUCAACUGCGACCUCGAGUUCCUCUACCAUUAGUCUGGUGUUCAGAAUUUGAUCUCCUAAGCGGGGAAUCAACACAAUUUGGCAGUCACUGAGCAAAGAUUCCCACAUGGUUCCAUAACCACAGUGAUUCACGAAACACCCAACAGAUGAAUGGCUGAGUAAUAGCUCCUGGGGAACCCAACCACCAUACACCAACCCUCUUCCUUGGAUCCUUUCAUGAAACCCCUCAGGCAAAGCCUCUUCAAUCGUUAUGCAUCCGUCUGGUGGUGUUAAAGCCACCAAGAAAGGUUGCCCUGAUAACUCAAGCCCAAGAACCAACUCUUGAAACUCCCCCUUUUGCAAUGCAAUCUGGCUUCCAAAUGAACAAAACACCACAGAACUUGGCUCAAAGUUGCUUAGCCAAUUAGCCCAUUUGUCUUCAAGCUGUGUGGCAUUUGUUUCAGGUAGGGAAGGCCCUGUUAACAUAACAGGCUUGCCAGAAUGUUGAGCAAUAUAGUCACAGAAAGGUCCUUCAAUUUCACGGUAAGUCCUAAAGGCUAUGACAUCACUGUCUUUCAUGGCAGUUAUUAUCCGGUCCUGAAAUGACAAUCCUAU
rnacentral:lncRNA from 1 species